rnacentral:rRNA from 1 species
ACGAACGCUGGCGGCGUGCCUAAUACAUGCAAGCCGAACGGUCUUUCUAUGGAAGCUUGCUUCCACUGAGAAGAUAGUGGCGAACGGGUGAGUAACACGUGGGUAACCUGCCCAUAAGAGGGGGAUAACAUCCGGAAACGGGUGCUAAUACCGCAUAGUUUUCUUGAUCGCAUGAUUGAGAAAGGAAAGACGGCCUUUGUGCUGUCGCUUAUGGAUGGACCCGCGGCGUAUUAGUUAGUUGGUGAGGUAACGGCUCACCAAGACGAUGAUACGUAGCCGACCUGAGAGGGUGAUCGGCCACAUUGGGACUGAGACACGGCCCAAACUCCUACGGGAGGCAGCAGUAGGGAAUCUUCCGCAAUGGACGAAAGUCUGACGGAGCAACGCCGCGUGAGUGAAGAAGGUUUUCGGAAUCGUAAAACUCUGUUGUCAGAGAAGAACAAGUUGGAGAGUAACUGCUCCAGCCUUGACGGUAUCUGACCAGAAAGCCACGGCUAACUACGUGCCAGCAGCAGC